CAGCAUCAUCAAAGCUUGCUUUGAUGGAUGGCGACCGGCGCACGGGUGAGUAACACGUAUCCCACUUGCCGACAACACUGGGAUAGCCUUUCGAAAGAAAGAUUAAUACCGGAUGGCAUAGUCUUCCCGCAUGGGAUUAUUAUUAAAGAAUUUCGGUUGUCGAUGGGGAUGCGUUCCAUUAGGCAGUUGGCGGGGUAACGGCCCACCAAACCAACGAUGGAUAGGGGUUCUGAGAGGAAGGUCCCCCACAUUGGAACUGAGACACGGUCCAAACUCCUACGGGAGGCAGCAGUGAGGAAUAUUGGUCAAUGGACGAGAGUCUGAACCAGCCAAGUAGCGUGAAGGAUGACUGCCCUAUGGGUUGUAAACUUCUUUUAUACGGGAAUAAAGUGAGCCACGUGUGGCUUUUUGUAUGUACCGUAUGAAUAAGGAUCGGCUAACUCCGUGCCAGCAGCCGCGGUAAUACGGAGGAUCCGAGCGUUAUCCGGAUUUAUUGGGUUUAAAGGGAGCGUAGGCGGGUUGUUAAGUCAGUUGUGAAAGUUUGCGGCUCAACCGUAAAAUUGCAGUUGAUACUGGCGACCUUGAGUGCAACAGAGGUAGGCGGAAUUCGUGGUGUAGCGGUGAAAUGCUUAGAUAUCACGAAGAACUCCGAUUG
rnacentral:rRNA from 1 species